rnacentral:lncRNA from 1 species
GUAUGGGUAUCUUGCUGGAGGUUCCUGCCUACCUGAGGCCUUCCAAGGGAACUCCGGGCUGAUGUGGAGAAGGGCAGGGGAAAAUUGCCUCCCGGAUGAGGUAUACGGCAAGAGCAGGUGUUUGGCAGCGAAGAAGGAGGUUGGAGGAAAUCAGAAGUGUUUCAGCCCCUUGAAGCUUUCUGGUACCUGGAAGCCUCCUCACUUCCACCUAGCGUCUUUCACCACUGCCCAUAGCCACCUGAAGUUCACGUAUGUUACAAUAUCAGCUCUCUGAAAGCUUGUGCUCAACCACGCUGCUGUCCAAGCGGGUGUAGCUGGAGGCAACAUCUAUAAGGGAUCAUCUGGAAGAGAUGCUGCAGCGUAGGCUCCUCCAGAGCCUUCAGGACGCAUCAGUAGCGGAGCCAUUUUGGUGCUGUUUGUGCUUCACGGUUGUGUCCUGGGUAAAAACGUGGGUAAAAGCCAUUGGGUCCAUUAUGUCUGAUUCUCCCAGAGGCCAUCUACUGGAGCGCACAGGCUCUAAGGAACGUGGAAGAGAUAACUGGAGGGUAAUAGAGAGGGUUAUUUCUAUGGAAAAAUCCUAGCUCUUUCCUUUUAUUGAAGUCAGUUCAUGAUCAUCUAUAUAAAAGAAAGCUGCGUUCUGAGAGCGCACAUGCAUUUGCAUAUGGCUGGUGUUCUCUUGCAAACUAUUUGAAUAAAAAUAAAAGGAAAAUGAAAAUAGGAGUUUUCACUCAAGGGAAAAGUUAAUGAACUCACUUCUCUUUCUUUCACUCCCUGAUUAAAUAUUAUGUUACCAUUUUGUCUUUGUGCAUGAAGAGUAAAACCCCGCUCUGUAUUUUGCCAGCUUCAUUCAUGAAGCUUUGUAUUAUUUUUACUGCAUUAAAAAAUUAAAAAUGACUCUCACCACGUGAGAAGCAGAAUGGAGAAGAGC